GAAAUGCGAUAAGUAAUGUGAAUUGCAGAAUUCAGUGAAUCAUCGAAUCUUUGAACGCAUCUUGCGCUCCUUGGUAUUCCUUGGAGCAUGCCUGUUUGAGUAUCAUGAAAUCUUCAAAGUAAAUCUUUUGUUAACUCAAUUGGUUUCUACUUUGGUAUUGGAGGUCUUUGCAGCUUCACACUUGCUCCUCUUUGUUCAUUAGCUGGAUCUCAGUGUUAUGCUUGGUUCCACUCGGCGUGAUAAGUUAUCUAUCGCUGAGGACACUGUAAAAGGUGGCCAAGGUAAAUGCAGAUGAACCGCUUCUAAUAGUCCAUUGACUUGGACAAUACUUUUAUGAUCUGAUCUCAAAUCAGGUAGGACUACCCGCUGAACUUAAGC
rnacentral:misc_RNA from 1 species